GCUGGGUGUGGUGGAGCACACCUGUAAUCCCAGCAUUUUGGGAGGCUGAGUUGGGUGGAUCACCUGAGGUCAGGAGUUCAAGACCAGCCUGGCCAACACGGUGAAACCCCGUCUCUA
rnacentral:SRP_RNA from 1 species